rnacentral:misc_RNA from 1 species
GUUCUUUAUCUCUAUCUCUGUAAUCUAUUUUUAGCUACUCAUAGAAUACUAGCCCAAGGCUAGUCGCCAUAUAUGAAGUACUACAAUAGAUUACAGAGAUAGAGAUAAAGAACUACGUAACAUAAGUAUUGCAUGGUAAUACAUUAUAAACAACCCCAGAUCAUCUCUUCUACCAAGCUCUAACUCUUAAUCUAAAAUGUAUAAGUUGGCCCUAUCGUAAUAUCUCAUGACCAGGAAGGAACCUGC